rnacentral:rRNA from 1 species
GUGUCGAUUAAGCCAUGCGAGUUAAAUGUUCUUCGUGAACAUAGCAGACUGCUCAGUAACACGUGGAUAACCUGCCCUUAGGACUGGCAUAACCCCGGGAAACUGGGGAUAAUUCCGGAUAGAUCAUAAAUGCUGGAAUGCUUUAUGAUUGAAAGGUUUCGACCGCCUUAGGAUGGAUCUGCGGCCUAUCAGGUUGUAGUGGGUGUAAUGUACCUACUAGCCUACGACGGGUACGGGUUGUGGAAGCAAGAGCCCGGAGAUGGAUUCUGAGACAUGAAUCCAGGCCCUACGGGGCGCAGCAGGCGCGAAAACUUUACAAUGCGGGAAACCGUGAUAAGGGAACACUGAGUGCUAGCAUUUAUGUUAGCUGUCCACAUGUGUAAAUAGCAUGUGAUAGCAAGGGCUGGGCAAGACCGGUGCCAGCCGCCGCGGUAACACCGGCAGCCCGAGUGGUGAUCACUAUUAUUGGGUCUAAAGGGUCCGUAGCCGGUUUAAUCAGUCUUCUGGGAAAUCUAAUCGCUUAACUAUUAGGCUUCCAGGGGAUACUGUUAGACUUGGGACCGGGAGAGGUAAGAGGUACUGCAGGGGUAGGAGUGAAAUCUUGUAAUCCCUGUGAGACCACCAGUGGCGAAGGCGUCUUACCAGAACGGGUCCGACGGUGAGGGACGAAAGCUGGGGGCACGAACCGGAUUAGAUACCCGGGUAGUCCCAGCUGUAAACGAUGCUCGUUAGGUGUCAGGAACGGUGCGACUGUUUCUGGUGCCGAAGGGAAGCCGUGAAACGAGCCACCUGGGAAGUACGGCC